ACCCGCAAAAGAGGUGUCAAAUCGUGCGGCCUAUUCGGGAAUGGUGUGCUAUGACUUUUGUAAGCGAUCGGGCGUACGAUGUUCGCACACCGGGCGAAAUAUCGCCCUAAAAAUCGCAUAGACAAUGCAUUGCGGCCAACUUUGACGGAUCAUAGCUCCGAGAGAGAAUUUCGCAGAAACAUGUGAAUCACCACAUUUGGAGAGGCUAUCAGGCUGUGCGAGAACAUACCCCGCAGUGGGGUAUAAGUUGUACCCCUGGGGCGCAAGAGCCCCCCAAAGUUGCCCCAUAGACAUAUUAUGGUGAGGGAUCGCCCAUGAAACAGCGCGUUUUUCCUACUAUGGUACUUUACCUAGGAGUUUUGCAUUGAACAUAACUCUGGAUCACAAUGUCAUAGAGACAUGGGGGAGGGCUCAUUUUACUCAGACAACCAAUCAGUCUAUCAAGAUCAUUGUGAAGCAGUCAAGCCACGCCCUAGCAACCAUUUAGGGCCCCUUAGUAACAAGCUCCAUACACUUCCAUUGAAAUAGAUCUAAUUAAUAUCUUUGGAUAGAAGUGUCAUAGAAACAUGAGGUUGGGCUCGUUUGAUUCGGGGCAGCAAACGACCAAUCACGAAUCACCUUCAAGACUUCAUAGCCACGCCCUAGCAACCAUUUAAACCACCCUAGCAACCCAAAGCAUAGAGGGAUAUCUUCAAAUCUGAAUAUCAUAAAGGCAUGGGGGUUGGUGUAUAUCAUUCAUACUGGAAAGCAGCCAUCAUUCCCAGCUGCCAAGCCACUCCCUAGCAACCAAACAGAGUACCCUAGCAACCGUUUUGCAAGACCUAUAUCUCUGAAUCAGAACAUCGUAAAGACAUGGCGGUUGGCUCUUUUGACUCAUGCUAGCAAACUGGAAUUCCAACAUGCUAGUCAUGCUAGCAGUGAAUAGCUACAUGCUAAUAGUGAUUAGCUAAGAGAUAAAUCAGGCUAUGAACUCUAUAAAAAUACCUAAGCAACUGAGGGCCGAGUUUUGCCACUGCAAGCACCACUCACAUUUUCUUCAGGAAAUGUACAUUCUAGUUAUUAUUAUUAUUAUUAUUAUUCUUCUGAGCCAAAUUUUAAACACUAUCUCCUCCUAGAGCUUUCAAGCUAGAACCACCAAACUCGGGUCAGACCUUCAGACUGGUCUGACUCGGGUUGCUAUAUCUUUUCUAACUGAUCCGGCUUAUGGUUUUCGUAAACCAGACUACCAAAAACCACCUUAAAUCCCAUAGACUUUCAUUGAGGGGGUGCAAACUUUUACAAAAAUAAGACUUAUAAUGUAUUUAAGUUGUCUACUACCAUAGCAAACCUUAAAAAAACUCUCUACUGAGAAUACAGCUAAAAACCAGCCUAAGCUGAUCAGUUGCUUUGGCUAGUCUCCCAAGCUGGUUUUUAAGUGGUUUUGGCCACUGUCACGCUGGUCUUAGCUGGGUUUUAGCUGGUUUUUACUGAAUCCACUGGUUUAAGCUGGUUUU
ensembl:lncRNA